UUUAUUCCGCCUAAGAACUGUGUAUUUAAUUGUUCAGCCACAGUGACAAGAGUUUAUUGAUGGUCUCUAAAAUUUUGUAGUUGAAUUUUAUUAGCAUCUUUCAUCCCGGCAAGGUAUGUGGAUACAAUUUCAGUUGUGAUAUAUAUUAAGAGAUUUAAAUAAUUUCCGGCGUUGAUUUUUUGAAUUGUUUCGUCUAACUGUAGCUGCAUUUCUUGUUCAGAGACCCAAGUGUGUAAUCUGAUUUUCCCUUCUUGGUGAUUAACGCAAUAGAGAUCCAAGAAGUCGUUAAUAUUUUACUGGUUUUGGUUUAAAUUGUUGAUAUUUUUCGAGCUUUCCUGUUUCGGAUCUAAAAUAUCCUCGUUUAUUUUUGUAACUGUCAUUAAUUUUUAUGGUUGGUUUUUGAUCAAUAAGUUCUUUUUGUUUACUUUUUCCUUCUCCUUCUACAGGGUUUACGAAAGGAACAGAUUGUUCCUCUUCCGAUGAAGAAGAGUGAUCAAUUAUUAUUUCAUUUUGUUCUAGUUGUUGGGCCUAAUGGAGAGGGAGUUAAUCAUAAGGGAUGCCAUGAGUGUUAUCGCCUGUGAAGGGCCUGAGCGGUUUGCGAGGCCUGAGACCUAUAAACAAUGGCAGGUUAGGAUAUUAAGAGCCGGGUUUAGGCCAGCGAAACUAAACAAACAGAUUGUGAAGGAAAGAAAGGGGUUAAUCAGAGAACGUUACCACAAAGAUUUUUUGAUCGACAAUGACAACCACUGGAUUUUCAGGGCUGGAAAGGAAGAGUCCUCUAUGCUCUGCCCUGCUGGAAACCUGCUAAGAAGCAAUAAACUAUUCUGUAAUCAUUUCCAUGAUUUUUUCAGCGCUUCAUAUAUGUGUUCUUUUUGCUUCACAAUGUUUCUUUGUAGAGACUGUUAGAUUUUGCUAUCAUAUAUCUAUGGAUUGCGUUUCUCUGGUCUUGCAAGUAUAUAUGCCAACCAAGAAUCCAAAACUAAGCUUAGAAGAAAUCCAUAAUUUAUCUAACAAAUAGCAAAUCAGCGUGUUUAAUGAUAAUCCGGACACUGUGAGAAGUUGAUAUACUAGUCUAGCACAUAAGAGCUCAUUGUUGGAGUUGGACAUUAAGGUCACUGAAGUAGUCCCGCCAGUUUAUUUCCAUUCUGUUAUGUUUUUACAUUUCCGUUCCCGAGAAUGUAAGAAGUUGAUAUACUAGAAAAUAGGCUAUAUUUUCCGGGGCAUUCGAUUCUCUUCGGUUCUUUCGGUUUUGUUCUUCAGUUCUAAACGUUUAGGAUUCAUUCAGGUGUUUAGAAAGCUCGGUUCGAUUUUGGUUUUGUUAUUUUGAAUCUCGGUUUGUUUCGGGUAACAAAGUUGGAAACAAGCUUAUAUCCGGGGUAAUUUCAUAUCUCAUUUGAUUUCGGCUUUUCGGUUAAUUCGGGUUAAAAAUUAAAAACCAAUUGGGUUAUUUUUGGGGAUUUCAGAUAGAAAUUCGGUAUAAUUCAGAAAUAAUUUUAAAUUUUGGAUAAAAAGUAUUCUAGUAAUUUGAUUUUUUGGAUACUUCGACAUAUAAAUAAUAUUUUUAAAAUUAUUUAAUUAUUUUAAAGGGCAAAUUUCUAAAGAAACCUUUUUAAGUUUUUGUCAUAAAAAAUAGACAUCAAGCAUGCAAAUGACUAAAAUAGGUUUUACUAAAGAGGCAAAAGACGUUUCUACUCGUUGCUUUAUAUAUAUAUAACAUUUAAAAUUAAAAAAAAUAAGAAUACAAAAAAUAUAAUUUUGGAUUAUAUGCUUUCAAAAUUAGAUUAUUAUAAAAAAAAUCAAUUUUUAUUUUUCCAAACUUUUCAAUUUUUUAAAAAAUUUAAAAAUUCUUUUUUUGAAACUAUUUAAAAAAAUUCAAAAUUAAUUUCUAUUUUGUUUAAUUUUAAACUCCACCCAAAAAUCUCACUCCUUAACUCUAAAUCCAAAGUCUAUGGUUAGUUAAUCCAAGUCUUGGGAUAGUUAACCUUAGGGGUAUAAAAGUAUAUAUUUACCCUUCAAUAAAACUUCUUUGAGUUAUUUCUUCCUUUGGGGGUAGAUUGGAAAGAAACACUUGGAUUAGGAUCAUUUGUGGCAAUUUAUCUUAAUAUUUAUAAAUAUAUAAACUAUAUUAUAGAAAUUUGGCUAUCCAUUCAGUUCUUAGUUCUCAGUUUGGUUCCAGUUCGGUUCUGAUUUUUUGUUCUAGAGAUAUAUGACCCACUCGUAUAAUUGACAAGAUCCAAACCCAUAACUAACCUCAUUUGCGGUUCGGUUCGGUUCUUCGGUUUCAAAUAAAUAUGCCUAGACCUAGGCUAUACUAUAUUUCAACCAAUUUGGGCUUUUAAACGCGGCUGUACAUUCCUUAUAUAUUUUUAGUAUUUUUUUCAACACUAGGUACAUCAUCAUAUAAUCUCUAAUUCUAUUACAAAUGAUGAUAAACUAUCUGCAACAUAUGAGAUAUCGAUGAACGAUUUUACAGAAAAUUUCAUGAGGAAUCUCUCCCCAUAACACUUGAAUCAACGGAUCGUUCCGCACGUAUGACAUCCUCGAUGAACAUGCUCUAUCGGCAGUACACUUCACAACGAACGACUCUGUCUACAACACUUUGAAACCUUCGAUAAACUUGCAUCCUAGAAUCUGAAAGAAAUUGCAUCUUCUAGAAAUUGAACCCUAUACAUUGGUGUAGAAGCCUCAAAACCUUGACCAUUAGGUCAUGAUGUUUCCACAUUUAUUUUUUAGUAUUUAGAAGUGUGUUCAUAUACAAAACAAUGUUUAAUGCUAUAAUUUUGUUAGAAAACCAAUAAUGGUUUUAAUAUUAUAUUUGCAAGUUAUAUCAGAAAAUUAAAUUUAUCAAGAAGAAAAUUAUUGGUUUAAACGGGUAAAAUUUAGUUGUACCAUAAAUAUUUUUGGUAUAUAGUGGUGUAAAUGAAAAAGUUUAAAAGAAUUGAUUUAAUUUUUAUGUCAUUAAAAUGUAUUUAUCUUUUCAUUCACAUCUAUAAUGAAUUCCAAAGUAAAAUGUGCUUGAAGUUGAAUAGUGCAAUGAUGUGUGAUCUAUUAGAAAGUAAUUCACGAUAUCGUACAAAUGAUACUAAAACAUGAAAAAUGUCACGUGGUGAUUGCAUGUAAAAAAACUUUUCAAUUCUCUUAAAGUUAACGCUCCUAACCAUUGGAUAGGAUGGAUCCACAUACCUAGAGAGACCAUGUUGUGGGCACACAAGAAGGGGGCCAUGUGUGUUAUAAAAUGGUAUCAAAACUGGUUAGUCGUUUUUGUUCUGACCCGAGAAGGGAUUAUUAACAUGUGUGGGUGUGAAAAGAAGCCGUCGGAAUCUAAGAAUGGAGGUGAAUUGUAUCUAUAAUAUGUUUAUUAAAGGUUGAGUAUCUUGGAAUCUGUUAAGUAAAUAGAAUUGCUUCAGUAAUAUGGAAUCGGUCAAGUAAUGAAAUGGUUACCAAAAACCUAUAAAGGAAUGCAACCUAUAUACACCAAUUUUUUUAUAUGCUGGAUUUUCGCCAAAACAUUUACUAGAUUGUUACUAAGAUAAGAUGACUGUUAUGAUCAAAAGAUAGAGAUUGACUUUUUUUUUGGUAAUUGGUGAAGUAUAUAACUUAUUUUAUGUCAAUUGUAGUUUGUUAUUGUUGUGAACCUCUGACACAAGGUACAUCUAAAUGAAAAUGAAACCAUUCCCAUGGCCGUGACAAAAAGAAAAAUAGUUGGAAGCAACUAGCAAGUCUGAAGUGACUCACCUAACACACAACAACACAUGUAAAUAUAUAAAAAUUCUUUACUGAACAAAAAUUGUUCGUAACUGAUCUGAAUUUGUAUGUACCGAUCUAUUUUUGUAACAAAAUCUAUACAAAUUGAUUUAUGUUGUCACUUUAAAUGUUACAUUAUCCGUUUGAAAAGAACCACCACGUAUAAUUAUUUGUUUACAUCAUAGAAACAGUGAUAUACAUACACAAAGCUGUGACAUCGAGUCUCAAUUACAUUACACAUUUACGAUGGCUGUUCAAAAAGAUCUGAAGUAAACCUCAUGACUUUUAUUAGGAUCCGACAAUUAUCUUGUUUUUUGGGACCACACAUAGAGGGUAGCUUUCGCCAGAAAAAAAAAAAGUUAGUUUUGACAGUGUGUAGUCUAUCCUUUAGAUUUUUCUUUUAUUGUGAUAUUUGUAAGAGAAUAAUUCAGAUGAUCAGCUAGCUGGUGAUGAUGGAUGUGUCAUGUAGUGACGAAUGUGAGAAUAAUGCCAACUAUAUAUGGGUUGAACUUUAAUGAACCUAUAAAUAAUGGGUAAACUAAAGAGCCAUUUGCACAGAAAAUAUCAAAUAAGUUGAUAAUUUGCAUAGAUGGAAAAACAGACAAAAGUGGAGAGAGAAAGAAGUUAAAAUGACAUUUUAGUCCUUUCUCUUUCUUACAUCUAUUUUUAUGGUUUAGGUAAUUAUAUAUUGUUUCUCUUUCUUAAGUUUGAUAUUUCUCACGUUUAUUACAAAAGAAAAUCAAUAGCUUCUAGCCGAAAACUCUCAAACUCAUUUUUCGAGGGUCGUCGACUGAUAUACUACUCAACGCCGACGUCGAUCUCGUUCCUCCUCUUUCAUUCUUCUCUUUAACAUAUGAUUCUUCAUGGCUACUUUCUUUGUGUUGGCUGGUUCAUUCCUUACGGUGUCGUCAUCUUUAUUGGUUGUACAUCACCGGACAUUCCUCGUCACACUAUAAAAAUGGUAGAUUUGGUUCGGAUUGUUUUACAGAGUUGACUAGGUGAGUUUGUUUUGAGUUAACUCAACAUAACGAACCGGCUCAUUAUAUAAUUUGAAGUUGCAGAUAAAAUUUUACUUGUUCUAAUAGCUGACACACAAAUAGCUGAAAUUUAUUAGCCGGAUAAACCUUUUCAUGUUCAGCUAAGAAAAAUAUAAAACCACAUGUACGAAAAUGUUAUAGGUGUGCACUUAAAAUUAUUGUUCGGAUAAAUUUUUUCAUGAUCAGCUAAAAAUAAUAAUAAUAGAUGUUUGGAUUGUGUCUGAAUAAUUGGAUGUAAAAAAUUCACAUAUUCGGCUAAGUAUAAUAUUAGCUUCCUAAUAAUUCACAACAAGAUAUAAUUUAAAAAAUUGUUAGCCGGAUAAAAAUUUCUUUGUAGAACUAAUUAUUUUAUUAGCUCUCAUUUGAAACUGGUAGAAAUUUAAAGAACACUGUUAUAUGUUAAUAGAUAUGCUGACAUGCUAACAAUGUCAUAAAACAUGCUAACAAUACCACAAUAUUAUUCGAAGAUACAUAAACAGAUAAAUGGUUAUAUGCUAUUAAAAUUGUUAGCAGUCUAACAUUGAAGGGUAUUAAAUAUGUUAACAGUCUAGCAGUUAGUUAUAGAUAUGUUGAUAGCAUUUGCUCGUAAAGAAUCACAAAGAACAUCGCGUCCGACACAACUCCUAUGCACUGUCCAAGAAGUCCACAUACGCUGCUCCUCUGAUUCCAGUAUACACGUAAUUUGCCAAGGUGCUUUUGUGGAGGUUGUUGACUAGGCAGUUCAUUGAUGGUUCCAAAGAUUGAUAUCCAGAAGCCAUUAUGUGCUCAUCAAACAAAACAAUAGCAUCAACUAGUGACCUGAUCUAGUCAUCAAACAAAGCAAUAGCAUCACUUAAAGGUUAUCUUGUUGCUCAAAGAUCAUGGCGGAUCGGAUAAGUAUACAAAUAUACGGCUAAGUAUAUAAGGCUACGGAUAAGUAUACAAAGAUACGGAUAAG